CCCGCAACGAGCGCAACCCCUCGCAUUCAGUUGCCAUCGGGUAAGUGCCGGGCACUCUGGAAGGACUGCCAUCGACAAGAUGGAGGAAGGUGGGGAGUGACGUCAAGUCAUCAUGGCCCUUACUGUCCAGGGCGACACACGUGCUACAAUGGCCGGCACAACGGGAAGCGAGUUCGCGAGGACGAGCGGAUCCCUCAAAGCCGGUCGCAGUUCGGAUUGAAGUCUGCAACUCGACUUCAUGAAGCUGGAAUCGCUAGUAAUCGUGGAUCAGCCAAGCCGCGGUGAAUACGUUCCCGGGCCUU
rnacentral:rRNA from 1 species